rnacentral:rRNA from 1 species
AUUGAACGCUGGCGGCAGGCCUAACACAUGCAAGUCGAGCGGAUGAAGGGAGCUUGCUCCUGGAUUCAGCGGCGGACGGGUGAGUAAUGCCUAGGAAUCUGCCUGGCAGUGGGGGAUAACGUCCGGAAACGGGCGCUAAUACCGCAUACGUCCUGAGGGAGAAAGUGGGGGAUCUUCGGACCUCACGCUCUCAGAUGAGCCUAGGUCGGAUUAGCUAGUUGGUGGGGUAAAGGCCUACCAAGGCGACGAUCCGUAACUGGUCUGAGAGGAUGAUCAGUCAAACGGGAACUGGGACACGAUCCAGACUCCUACGGGAGGCAGCAGUAGGGGAUAUUGGACAAUGGGCGAAAGCCUGAUCCAGCCAUACCGCAUGUGUAAAAAAGGUCUUCGGAUUGUAAAGCACUUUAAGUUGGGCGGGAGGGCAAUAAGUUAAUACCUUGCUGUUAUGACGUUACCAACAGAAUAAGCACCGGCUAACUUCGUG